rnacentral:rRNA from 1 species
GAUGAACGCUGGCGGCGUGCCUAAUACAUGCAAGUCGAGCGAACAGACGAGGAGCUUGCUCCUCUGACGUUAGCGGCGGACGGGUGAGUAACACGUGGAUAACCUACCUAUAAGACUGGGAUAACUUCGGGAAACCGGAGCUAAUACCGGAUAAUAUAUUGAACCGCAUGGUUCAAUAGUGAAAGACGGUUUUGCUGUCACUUAUAGAUGGAUCCGCGCCGCAUUAGCUAGUUGGUAAGGUAACAGCUUACCAAGGCAACGAUGCGUAGCCGACCUGAGAGGGUGAUCGGCCACACUGGAACUGAGACACGGUCCAGACUCCUACGGGAGGCAGCAGUAGGGAAUCUUCCGCAAUGGGCGCAAGCCUGACGGAGCAACGCCGCGUGAGUGAUGAAGGUCUUCGGAUCGUAAAGCUCUGUUAUUAGGGAAGAACAAAUGUGUAAGUAACUAUGCACGUCUUGACGGUACCUAAUCAGAAAGCCACGGCUAACUACGUG